CCCCGUCCUUAGUUGCUACCAUUUAGUUGAGCACUCUAAGGAGACUGCCGGUGAUAAGCCGCGAGGAAGGUGGGGAUGACUUCAAUUCCUCAUGGCCCUUACGGGCUGGGCUACACACGUGCUACAAUGGCGGUGACAAUGGGACGCUAAGGGGCAACCCUUCGCAAAUCUCAAAAAGCCGUCUCAGUUCGGAUUGGGCUCUGCAACUCGAGCCCAUGAAGUUGGAAUCGCUAGUAAUCGUGGAUCAGCAUGCCACGGUGAAUACNUUCCCGGGCCUUGUACACACCGCCCGUCACACCAUGGGAGUUGGUUUUACCUGAAGGUAUGCGCUAACCGCAAGGGGGCAGCUAACCACGGUAGGGUCAGCGACUGGGGUGAAUCGUAACAAGGUACCGUAAGGG
rnacentral:rRNA from 1 species